CCCCAAAAACUAAACGUACUCAGUUCGGACUGUGGUCCGCAACCCGACCACACGAAGCUGGAAUCGCUAGUAAUCGUGAAUCAGAAUGUCACGGUGAAUACGUUCCCGGGUCUUGUACACACCGCCCGUCACACCAUGGGAGUCAGCAACGCCCGAAGUCAGUGACCUAACCGAGAGGGAGGAGCUGCCGAAGGCGGGGCCGGUAACUGGGGUGAAGUCGUAACAAGGUACC
rnacentral:rRNA from 1 species